GCCCGGGUGGUGAAAUUGGUAGACACAGGAGACUUAAAAUCUCCCGAUCCUGAGGAUCGUGCCGGUUCGAGUCCGGCCCCGGGCACCA
rnacentral:tRNA from 1 species